CCGGGGUGAGUAACGCGUGAGGAACCUGCCUUUCAGAGGGGGACAACAGCUGGAAACGGCUGCUAACACCGCAUAACGCAUAGGUAUCGCAUGGUACAGAUGCCAAAGAUUUAUCGCUGAGAGAUGGCCUCGCGUCUGAUUAGCUAGUUGGUAGGGUAACGGCCUACCAAGGCGACGAUCAGUAGCCGGACUGAGGGGUUGGCCGGCCACAUUGGGACUGAGACACGGCCCAAACUCCUACGGGAGGCAGCAG
rnacentral:rRNA from 1 species